rnacentral:lncRNA from 1 species
GGCGGAUAGGAAUUGAGACUUUCAAUGGUCCGCUCUUCUCUCCUCGUGAUCGAAGCUGACCCCAGAAGUUGGGUAUUCCUUCUUAAGAGGACACUAACCCUCCCGAUCUUGCUAGCCGGGGGCUCAGUCUUUCAAGAUUCAAUCUUUCCCCUUCCGGUCCCAGGGAAUCGCUCUCGAUUGCUGCUUGAUUACCUAUGUCGGUUGCGUUAAGCUUUCAGUUCUGCACAAAGCGCAGGUGGGCGCCGCCCUUUUGAAAGCUUAGUAGCUGCGAGACCUGUCAAGUUCCCACUUGAUCCUGCAAGUCUAUAGUCUAUACUUCUUGCUUUGAUGGCAAUCGUUGGUCGCUUGCUUGAUUGGAAGGACUGAUGCAAUUAUACCUUUCCUGUUCUCGCUACUACUUACUAUUACUACGUAAAUAGUUUCUUUUAGCAUUCGUCCUUCAAAGAGCUUUAUUCGCCCCUUACUUAGCUUAGGAGUGGGGGAAACUGAACAUCAAUCAAAUAAGUAGGUUUAUUUCAGAGGAAAUUCUUGAAUUUGGAAUGAAAAGAGGAGUAAUGCUUCCUAGCACGGGACAAAGAAUA